rnacentral:rRNA from 1 species
CAGUCGCCGCGGUAAUACGUAGGGUCCGAGCGUUGUCCGGAAUUAUUGGGCGUAAAGAGCUCGUAGGCGGUUCGUCGCGUCUGCCGUGAAAUCCCCAGGCUCAACCUGGGGCGUGCGGUGGGUACGGGCGAGCUAGAGUGCGGUAGGGGAGAAUGGGAGAGGUGAGUGGAAUUUCCGGUGUAGCGGUGAAAUGCGUAGAUAUCGGAAGGAACACCUGUGGCGAAAGCGGCUCACUGGACCAUUUCUGACGCUGAUGCACGAAAGCUAGGGGAGCAAACAGGAUUAGAUACCCCUGUAGUCC